UAGAGCCGUAUACGAGACCCGUAUGUACAGUUCAAUAGGAGGGGCAAUAAAUCUAGAAUUUAUUCCUCUACCCUAU
rnacentral:misc_RNA from 1 species